GAAGUGGGCAUCGCAUUUAUAGGCCUAAUAAAAUUUGGUGAAAUGUUAAAUUUUAUAAAGUAGAAAUGGAUUAGAUAGGGAAAUACUUAGCAAAUGCAGCCUCUAAGUGUUAGUUUUAUGAAUAAAUUGAACAAUGCAAACCUUAAUUUAAACAAUUUUAUUGUAAUUAUGCAUUGGUGUUGUUCAAUUGCACUGUGCGUUAAUUUUGCUCAAUGGCCGAAUGGAAUAGAAGUAUUUGCCAUAGUUACAAACAGCCAGGUCACUCGUUGUCAGUAUGCUUCAAGAAGGGAAGAUGUCCAAAAUGUGGUGAGGGGUUCGUGAAAGGGAUGGAGGUGAAAAAAUAGUGCAAACAAAGGAUGGAUGUUCCAUUGUUGUACUUGUGACUGUCAACAUUUCAAGUGGUGAGAUUUUUGCCAUUUGAAGAUAAACUAGUCCAGGAUCAUAUAAGCUCAAAGAUCCAACUGGUGACCUAUCGAGUGUGUUCUAAAUAUGCUAAUAUAGUCUAUGAAAAUGACUAUUUGGAGAUUUUCCUCAACAUAACUCUUUGCAAAGGGAAACGAGAUCUAGAUGACAAGGAUAAAGGUAAAAAGGUGUUAAUUAGAUGGUGUACUGUUGAUGUAAAGCAACUAUAUUACUUUAGAUGUGGUGUUUAAUUUCAAUGUAAUCGGAUGGUAUUGUUGUCUCGUAGUUAAAAAUUUUCAGAUGUAAUUCUCUAAUUAAUUUUCUUGAUACAGC
rnacentral:lncRNA from 1 species